GAAAGCCCGGGGCUCAACCUUGAAAUAGCAUUUGAAACUGGCAGACUAGAGUACUGUAGAGGGGGGUAGAAUUUCAGGUGUAGCGGUGAAAUGCGUAGAGAUCUGAAGGAAUACCGGUGGCGAAGGCGGCCCCCUGGACAGAUACUGACACUCAGAUGCGAAAGCGUGGGGAGCAAACAGGAUUAGAUACCCUGGUAGUCCACGCCGUAAACGAUGUCUACUUGGAGGUUGUGGCCUUGAGCCGUGGCUUUCGGAGCUAACGCGUUAAGUAGACCGCCUGGGGAGUACGGUCGCAAGAUUAAAACUCAAAUGAAUUGACGGGGGCCCGCACAAGCGGUGGAGCAUGUGGUUUAAUUUGAUGCAACGCGAAGAACCUUACCUACUCUUGACAUCCAGAGAACUUUCCAGAGAUGGAUUGGUGCCUUCGGGAACUCUGAGACAGGUGCUGCAUGGCUGUCGUCAGCUCGUGUUGUGAAAUGUUGGGUUAAGUCCCGCAACGAGCGCAACCCUUAUCCUUGUUUGCCAGCGAGUAAUGUCGGGAACUCCAGGGAGACUGCCGGUGAUAAACCGGAGGAAGGUGGGGACGACGUCAAGUCAUCAUGGCCCUUACGAGUAGGGCUACACACGUGCUACAAUGGCGCAUACAGAGGGCGGCCAACUUGCGAAAGUGAGCGAAUCCCAAAAAGUGCGUCGUAGUCCGGAUUGGAGUCUGCAACUCGACUCCAUGAAGUCGGAAUCGCUAGUAAUCGUGGAUCAGAAUGCCACGGUGAAUACGUUCCCGGGCCUUGUACACACCGCCCGUCACACCAUGGGAGUGGGCUGCAAAAGAAGUAGGUACUCAACAUGCGGUAACAAGGUCACCGUAGAGUUAACAGUCG
rnacentral:rRNA from 1 species